rnacentral:rRNA from 1 species
UACGGAGGGUGCAAGCGUUAUCCGGAUUUACUGGGUUUAAAGGGUGCGUAGGCGGGCUUUUAAGUCAGUGGUGAAAUCUCCGGGCUCAACUCGGAAAUUGCCAUUGAUACUAUUAGUCUUGAAUUAAGUUGAGGUGGGCGGAAUGUGUCAUGUAGCGGUGAAAUGCUUAGAUAUGACACAGAACACCGAUUGCGAAGGCAGCUCGCUAAACUUAUAUUGACGCUGAGGCACGAAAGCGUGGGGAU